GACACAUGAUAUUCUCUCUACGUGGGAUAGCAUAACAUUUGGAAACUAAUCUAAGUUUAAUCUGUAUUCUUAGACUUGGAUCAAUCUUCAGGGAUAUUCCAGAAUCCUAGUAAGACACAGUCACUAGAGAGGAUGUGUGAAUGGAUGUCAAUGUCUGAGUUGAUACUUCAUCAUGCCAGACACUGGUGAGAUUCUUUUGGGGACGACACAAAUCCCUUCUUCUGGUGGGGUAGGGGAAAGGAUAGCUAAGACAUUGAAUAUGUAAAAUUAUGAAAUAUUUGAAAAGGAAAAUGGGGAAGACUAACAUACAGUUUUAGGCACGUGAGAAGCAGUAAAGGAGUGUGGUCCAGACAACCUGGUCAAGCCUGCUUGCUGUGUCUUCUGGACCUUGAGGAUAGGAGAUAUUGUGGUUGUGUAGGGGCUGAUGGGCUGGGAUAGGCAUAAGGAAACAUACACAUGUGGGCGAGCUGGUCCUGGGGUGUUGGAGAGAGGUAUGCCCUGCUGAGGAUCAUUGCUAGCAUUUAUCUACCACUUUGCAGGUCACAGGAGGUCAAAGCUUUUCAUUUUAUGUAUCUUUCCUGGGUUGUUUCUUUACAGCAUGGUCAGUACAAAUUGUAGACCUGAGGCAGAGGGGAACAGGAGACAGGAGAGAGCUCAGAUGACUUCUCUGUAGGUAUCGCCCUUUGAGGCUUGAGGCCACUAUAUGGAUGGAUGGACAGUAGGUGACAAGCUCACACUGUGAAGUUACAAAAUGUGGUUGCUUACAUGGAGGUGGGAGUACGGAAGAGUUUGAGAGAACUUACGAUGGACCAUGGAAGGGAAGAGGAAGUAAGUGGGGGAGCACAUAGACAAGCCAAGGGCAAGGCCUUCAUAUUGGGCUUGCUGUUUAAUCGUAGCUUCCAGUCGCUGUUCCUCUUUUUCUAUAUGUAUAGUGUUUAAUGUCUAAGCCUGUUUAUAUUUUGUUAUUUUAUAGGGUCCAAUUUAAUUCAUUUCUUCUCUCUGCAGCUAUAAUGCUGGACAUGAGAUCAGAGUCAGUUUCUUUAUAUCUCAAAGUGUUGCACUGACAAUUUCUCCUAGGGGAUGCUUCCUAACCCUGACUUUCGUGCACUUGGGAAUAGGCGAUUUUCGUGCACUGUGUUAGCCUGCUCAAGCACUUGGAGUGAGAUGCUGUGAGUUGGAAGACUUAAGCAAUCAGACAUGCAUUUUUCACAGUUCUGACACUGGGAAGUCCAAGAGCAAGGUGCUAGUAGCUUCUCUGAGUCUGGAUUAGCUGCACUGCCUAGAUAUUGGGUUUCUUUCUAGUUACCACUGUGUCCUCACAUGUUGGGCGCAACUCUGUCUUUCUCUUGGUAGAAAGCCACCAAUUUCAUUUUGAGAGUUUCACCUGAAUCUCUAGUUUCACCCUAACCAUCCCUCCAAUGUCCCAUCUCCGAAUACUUUAACACCGCAGAUGAAUACAAGAAGAAUACAGUUUGUGUCACAACUAUCAUGUCCAACUUUCAAAUAAAGGAAAAGAGAAAAAAAUAGAGUAGAAAACAAUUUUUUGGUUCUUUGCUUAGCUCAUAUUUCAGAGCUCUUCUAAUUGAGCUGAUCUCCUGUUGUAAUUGGAUCUUGAGUGGUUGGUCAUUGGAACGCCGACUUGGCCAGGGAGAGGAAUGGGUUCUUUAUGCCGAGAGAACCAGAGUGUCUGUCCUAGAUCAUGUGACGCCAAGUUCACCAGUGGCGGUUGGAAGAAUUGAACCCCAGCAGCAACACUUCCAACAAGGGGACUAUCCCAUGUGUACCAGUGUUAGGUACUCUAGUGGGCAAGAAUACUGCGUGCCUCUGUAGUCAAACAGUGAUAACUGUGGACUUGACUGAAUAUCAACUGCUGUCUCUGUGUCAUGUGGGAAAAUGAGUGUGCCUGACACAUUGUGCAUAUUUUAUAUAUUGCUUAAGGGCUGUGUGGCUGUCAGGAGAACUCCAGGCAACUGAGAGGGAGCUAAAAAUGCUGAACAAAAACUCAACAUUUACAAAGAAAGCUUAAUAUUAAAGAGAGAGAGAGAGAGAGAGAGAGAGAGAGAGAGAGAGAGAGAGAGAGGCACCGUGAGGCGUAAUAAUUGACCGUGCAAGGAAUAUUUAGCUGUAGGUCCAAGAUCAUUAUGAACACUCGUCUGUGGUCUUGAGAUUCUUCCCUCAUUGUGGGAAGCUGGGAAGAUACUUUUGAGUCUUUCGUGAAUUUAUGUUUUUUGGAGUAGUGUAUAGUUUUCAUUAGAUUGUCAAGAUGGUCUUGAAUAUAGGGAAAUUAGGAGAGCUAAUUAGUUAAACUCCUCCAAAUUGUGCAUGAAGAAACCAAGGCUUAGGGGGCGUUAUUGCCUUUCCUGAGACCUCCAGGGACUGAGACAGGUCUGCGGGCUCUCAAUCUGAUAGCCCCAUUCUUCCCCAUUGCUUCCUGACAGAACAAGAAACUGACUUUGCUUGCAGAUUAUUUCCAAAAUCCCACUAAGAGGGAUGAUCCACCAGAAGGAGAUUGGCGAUUGAUUUCCUGCCAAGGUCUCUAAUUCACUGGCACGGCUUUUGUGUAAGGACUGAAAGGAACCUCCCAAAGACUCUGUGUGCAAGAGGAAGGAUUUCACGCAAUGGGAUAGAUGUUAAAAGGCAGUUAUGAAAGUGGGCACUGACAGGGUCUGGCCUCUGCUAACAUCUUUAUAUGGUGCCUCACCUCCAGGGUAGUGCCUGUGUCUAGGGAAUAAGAACAUAGUUUUUCUUAGUUAUUACUACAGAAAUACCCUUACCUGGCCUUUGAGCGGAUCAGGUAUUCUAACUAAUAGUUCUUUCAGAGAGCAGCACCACUUUAUCACUGUACUUUCUCUGGCCAUUCCCUUUCCCACACAUGAGAAAAUUAUCAAACUCCUGGGUGCUAGACAUCAUCUCUACCGUAUGACUGAUGUUCAUGAAUUUGAAUGAACCAAAUAUAUGCUUUAAGGUGAACAUUUUGUUAAGUUUGUGUUGAGGGGGAAGGGUGGUGCCCUCAGAGGAACUCAGGGUAAGGUGUGUAGAAAAAC
rnacentral:lncRNA from 1 species